UGUCCACGCGGCGGAAGCAGCACAAGAAACAUUUAGAGACCCACGAGGGACGCCGCAGGAGAAUAUUCUGCCUCUACUGUCUGCCUCCGAACGACCCAUCAGAGCCGUACGUGAAAGAAUCAGUCAAAUAUCCAUUCGACAAAUUCCCCCAAUACUGGUACGCUUCAGAAGAGUCCCUACGCCUCCACAAGAAAAGAAAACACCCCUACGCUGCGAUGUUCAACUACAACUGGUUUGGUACCUGGGGUGACUCCAUGCCGAACAGUUAAAAGUUAAAACUCAGGUAAUAGUAGUUUUAGUAGUUUUCCCAGCGGUGAAACUGGCAACACUGGGUGUUUACGCGUUUCGGACCGCGGUGUGAAACACUCAGCAAUUAUUGAACGGUUUUUUUUCGUAUGUGCGGUGCGAAUGGUCAAAGGAUAAUUUGUAGUGGGUUGAUUCGGUCAGAUACUUAAUGGAACUCCAAAAAACAUAACCCUCCUUCUGGCGUAGUCCCGUAAAAAGGACUGUUUUUGCAUAUUACAGUCCGAAUUGACCCAUUACAAAAAAAUCACGGGCGCUUCACACCGCGAAAGGUCACACCGCGGUCCGAAUCAGUCGUGGUGCGAAACGCGUAAGACCCACUGCCGUAUUUUUGCACUGGUAUCUUUGUAUAGUAAGUUUUAGCUGAUCGAUUGUAAGUUAUUUUUAUGAUUGGAUUUUAAUUGGAAAAGAUGUAAUUUUUAACUGAUUUAAUUUGUAAGUCCAUUUGAAAUUAAAUUAUACUCAAACGUAUGCAUGGGAAUAAAAUUUUGAUUAUGGUAAGAUAAAAGACAUUCUGUAUAUGUAGGUACUCGAAAACGUAGGGUCUUCUAGCGGAAAUAACUAAAUAAUAAAUGUCUACCACCGAUCCUUAAAGUCGACGACUGCCAUAACGAUCGACUUACAUCCUAGAACAAAAUAACUAGAAAAAUAUACUUUAAUUUUCAGGGGUUAUUCCCAUUUACCCCCGUGGGGGUGGUAACUGGGAAUUUAUUUACAAAAAUAUCCCACUCUCCCCCGCUUGUGAAAAAUUAGUAAUGAUACAAUAAAAAUAAUAACACAAAGUAGCGUCUAUACGUCAUAGCAGACUUAUCAACUCGGAAAGGGAUCAACACUGUAUCGCCUUUCGCGAGCUGUCAUCUUCGCGCGCUGUCAACCGCGAGGCGUAUAAAGAUGUCCAACACUGAACCGUCCCAGCUAUGAAAUUUUCAGAAAUACUCGAUUAUUAGUUCCGAUUUUUGCCACGUUGGACAACCAUAGGCAAUACACGGACCGCUUGAAGCAGUCAGGGUCGACAGCUUCAAGCUGCGACUGCACAGUGAACUGCAGAGUUCUAUGGACGCACAUACACGAACCGCUCGAGCAGUUGCAACUGAUUUGGGCGGUCGACAGCACGGUGAACUUUCAUCGUGCGGUCAAGCAGUCGCCAGCCAUACACUGACUGCUCGAGCUGUCGACAGCUCUCGCGCAGUUACCUCCGCCCACUUUCUUCAUUCCACGGCGCGCGCGUUUGUGAUUUGUUGAGCAAUUAAUACCAACUGCUCGAGCAGUUAUCACUGGCAGCUUCAAGCAGUUGACUCUUGACUACAAGAGUGUUCCGUGUAUGUUGAUCACUGACUAACUGCUCAAGCUGUCCAUGUAUGGCGGGCCAUAUAUUCACAUGAGGGCGCUACUAUCAAUACGGAUUGUUAGUUUUUGAUUUUUGCCACUUGACGUUUUAAAAUCGCUUGCGUUACGGUGCGGAUAAGUGUGCGUUGCAGUAUGGAGUUUCAUACAAAGAAUACUGACCGCGUCGAGCUGAUACGGUUACGAUCCCUUUCCGGGUUGAUAAAUGUCCUUAUAAAAGAACGCGAUACUCAACAACUGUCCAGUUUUAUUUAUUUGUUCAACUAUUUGACGGAAGUGGGGGAGACUGGGACUUUGUAAACAAAUUCCCAUUUGCCCCCUGAUGGUGGCAGAUGGGAAUGAGCGCUUUUCCGGUAGAACGCGCCUACGUUUGAAAAGAAAUUGCUAAAGACUGUAGUUCGCCUUUACCAUCGGUGUUGAUAGCAUAAAAAAUAUGAACAUAUAGAAGUCAUAAGGGCCAGUAGUGUGCACGUUUUUUUAUGUAUUGUCAUCACAAAAUAAUAAUAAAAUAUCACAGAUAAUUUAUGGUUUGAUUAAUAAAUAAAUGAGAGCCAAAUUAGAAAAAUAGAAUAAAUAAAAUUGUCUAAUUUUAUCAAUAAAAUUGUAAGAUGUCCUUUUACUUUGGGAGAUUUUGAAAAAUUUUAGUUUUUUAAUUGGAUAACAAAUACAUUCCUGAAAAAUGUAAUGCUUUCCAUUAAUUAAUAAAAAAAAUUCUUGUUUGAGCCAUAAUUGUAAACAAAGUAUUUUAUCUAUGUAAAUAGAUGUUUAAGUUGCCUUAUUUACAAUUUCAAAUUGUAUCGGCGACAUCACAUAAAACUAUACAGUGGCAUCUUAUGUUCUAACUCGUGUUUUAAUUAAUUUAUGAGUUAGUUUAAUGUUACAUUUUGUAACAAACGUCUGAUUCGAUAGUUUACAGUGUGUUUACAUUUAUGGCUGAUUUUUAAAUGUAUAUUUCAAGUUUACGUGGACAUAUGACUAAUAUAGACAUCAAAUCUUCAACUUUUUCCAAUAAUUUAAGCAUUAGAAGAAUCCAAGACAUAGUCUUUGAAAUAAUAAAAAUGUAAACAUUCACAAUGCAUGACAAGAUCACAAGUUAAAUAUUAUAAUCAAACACAUGUACAAAACGACGUAUACCAGUAUUUUUAUAAGAAUUUUAAUGCAUUUACUAGCUAGGUAUAUUUUUAAUGCUUAUAGGGAUGGAAGAUUGCAAUUUAUAUGUAUAGUGAUUAACUGGAUCAGUGCGUAUGGUAUGGGAGAGGUAACAUAGACUUAUGACGUAACAGAGUUCAUUUUUUCCACAACGAGGAAGCUCGGCCUGUAUCUCACCUGAUGGUAAGUGACGAUCAGGCCGAAGGUGGAAGCGAGCUUCACCCGGAAUCCUCAACCACGGAGGAACUGGCUAUCUUACCUCUAACUGCCGGAACACAACAAUGUUGUUAACAUUGUUGUUAUGGCGACAGACUUAGGUAAGAUGGUGGUACCUAGACAGGCGGACUUAGAACAUGCCCUACCACCAACCAAACCGAACAGAAAAAUCUGCCCCCACUGGGAAUCGAACCCGGGACCUCUGCGUCUGAAGCACAUUUGAAGUCUCGCUGACGUUUUACAUCAUAAAAACUUCAGGCACAGACUCAGUUAAACGCUAGACAUAUUGUGGUUCAAAUUUCGGUGACAUACGCUUUAUUAGUGUCUUUAAAUGUUAGGUUAUUAUGUGUCUUAAAUAACUAAAAGCUAGAAAGCUAUGUGCUUUUUGAUAUGAUAAAUCAAAUAAUCUUCCUUCUGACUUCCAAGUGGUAUUACUAGAUCAGCUGUUCAAAAAAUAAAUGAAAACAAGUAAAAAUCAACGAUUUAUCGGUCUCACCAGAGUAAAUACAAAUGAGUAGGUCAUCUUAGGGGCAACUCCCCGCUAAUCAACGCUAAAUUUUGUCAGUGUGUGCGUGCACGCCGCAUACGUAUUGGCGCGCUUACAUACAAACCGCACUCGGUGCGUUUCUAUGAAGAUGACCUACUCAUUUGUAUUUACUCUGGUCUCACCCCCGAUUUCUGAAUUGAAAACUAUGGGAGCGGCACCCAUACUUCAGGAACUGACUGAGUUAACUACUAGUCUAAAGCCUGGUCUGUGAGCACGUAGAAUCCCGUCCAAUGACCCCAAGCUACCCAUCCUUAUCGCUCGCGCGUAAUUAGAUUGCUGUCGCGACUGUGCGACGCGCGCCCGCAGUGAGUGUGCGAGCGCGACAGCAACAUAAUUACGUGCGAGCGACAAGGAUGGGCAGCUUGGGGUCAUUGGACGGGAUUCUACGUGCUCACGGACCAGGCUUUAGCUGGAAAUCGAUAUAAAUCAGUUAUUGAUGAGUGUCACAAACUUACAGAGAAAUUAUGUCGGUUCAGAACAGCCUAUCUAGUAGUACAUAGUAAAUUUUGCGGAAAAGCUUCUGUAGUUCUGAGCGCUAACAUUUUUAUAUGAUUUUAAUAAUCGUGGCAAUUCUUUUGUAUCCCUUUAGAUGUAUUCCACUUUAAAACUUAGUUAUAAAUGUCUAAAGUUGUUCAAUUUGCCUUAACUUUUCGCCUUAAGCCUUAAACUAAAUGUGAUUGAAUAAAUGAGAUCUGUAGUAAUAAAUUGUCAUUGAGCUAACUGCGCACUUCGUUGGAACGCGACUUGUAAGUGUAUGCCGGAUUAUACAGCGCCCUUAUCGGAAACGUUCAAGAACUAAAAUUCUCAUAAUUUUUUUAACGCGCUCACUAGUUAACUACCACGUUUGAUGUAAACUCACACUCGGCCCACAGAGCAGUGAUGUGACGUCACGGCUGCCAGGUGCGCAGUUACCAGCUUUUUAGCAUAGCAGCUGUAUGUGUUCAGUGUGGAAGAAUAUUCUGGAGGUACUCUAGUGCCAAAAAUGGCUGAUCGUUGCCUUUAGCUAUUUUAUUUAUUAAGACAAUAGUAGAAAAGAAUUGCCACCAUUGUAUCUGUUUCAAAAUUGAUAAUGAUAGUAUUCAUCAUUAUUAUAUUUAUAAGUUAUCUUGAACAAAUGUUAAAAUGUCACUGGUAUAAAAUCGCAGUAAGAGCGCUUUCACAUUAGGGCGUUAGAAGCGCGACAGCAGCGCGGCAGCGGCGUUUUUAUAAUGUGAAGGCUCCGCUGUCACAUAGUAUGAAAUUUUCGGCAGCGCGUCGGUCGCGCGUUUGUCGCGCUGCUAAAUCGCCUAAAUGUGAAAACGCUAGUAUUUUUAAACUACCUGUUAAAAUCACAAGUGAUCUCCGCCAUCUCUAGUUUUAGCCCGUUCAAUGGAAACCAAAUCCAACCAGUAUUACGAUUAUAUUUUAUGUUUAGUUUUACUUAUUUUUAGGACUCCAUUUUAACAUGUUCUUCUCUGGGACUCGAAACACUUGCAAUAUUUCACGUUUCGGGCACAAAAGUAUUAACUUUUUUUUAUUUAAUAAUUUAUUUAUUUAUCGGUAUGAUGAUUGACAUAUCUAACAUCUCUUUACUGAUUUUAUUUUAUUUUUAAUCAAUCUAAAGACUUAGAAGUGGCCAAAAAUGAUUUCAUUGAUUUACAAUUUUAAAGAUUUUCGCUUUUCUUUUUACCGCAAGACAAUUUUCACGAUUAUCAUAAUCUUUUGAAUAGUAAUCUACUGUGAAAUUGAUUUUUUAAUAAUAAUUAGACUAUAAGUCUAAAAUACAUUAGCUAUUUUACUCAUUCGAGUCCCACAAGUUUUUAUUUCAAGCAAUAUUAUUGAAUCAGUGUUCUUCCAACGGAGUCUUGAAAUUAUAACACACCAACACAAUAUUAUCGUCACGUUUGAUUGGUAUUUUAUUUACUUUUAAGUCUUUUGGGUUAAUUUUAACAUAAAUACUGGUUUUAGUAGUACUGGCUUCUCGUGAUAAACAUUGGCAUCUUGUGUAAUUGUAAUAGAGUCUAUUUUGCGACGAAAAUAUAGUGGCCAGCUGUACCUACCAUGAAACGACGAGUUUAUUUUGAUUUGGGACUUAGAGACUUCAGUGUAAGGUUCAAUAUCAAAUCAAGUCAUUUGGUGGUUCGUUCGUUCGUUCGUUUCAGCCGAAUGACGUCCACUGCUGGACAAGUGGUAAUAGUAAUUAUUUACUAGUUCUAGAUGUCCAUUCACAAUAAUACCCUAAAUAUUGGUAUUAAUAGCUAAAUUGUCACUGCCAAAGCAUCUUAAACGUUUAAUGAUUUUUAAACUAAUUUUCUUGACCCAAAAGACUUGAUUUUAUGCAAUUUUAUAAACGAUUUCCAAAUAAAAUGUCUACCCAGUUGAACGUGAUUUAAAAAAUGCGGGUAGUUUUAAGUUAAUUGUAAAUAAUUAGGCAGCUAAUGUGUACUUAGAAUAGGCAAAUCAUGAGAUUUCUUACACGUAGUAAAUUACUAACGUAAACACCAAUCUAUAAUUAAUAUUUAUGCACGUAAAUGCAGCGUAAUAAUGUAAACAACUGCUAUGGGCAAUCUAAUAGCAAGCUAAAAGCAGCUGUAAAGAGUCGCCAAGUAUCAAGACUUCUGAGUAGUACAUUAAAGUUUGUUGCGGGUCCAAUGACAGUUAACUUUCCCUCGGGACAAACUUGGCCUUCACUGGUUGGGUUUUGGCGGUCAAGCUGUAGAUCCUGGCUACACAGGAGUUGCAGCGGUGGGAAUAGCCGCUUCCUGGCUAUUACCGGACCUUAAACUAAAUACUAUAAUGAACAAUAUUAAAUUAAAUACUACAUGUUAUAAGCUUAUACUUGGCGAUUAUUAUGAAUAUUUUUUUAAUUAGGAAGUUGACACCAUUAUCCAAUCAUUCUGAGACACAGCUCAUUCAGAAACACUUUAGUAAAACUCAGUAAGUUUUUAAUUUGCUUAAAAAUCAUAUUACUAGCGAACUAAAAUUAUGGAAGUCGCGUUAAACAGCUCUUAAAAAGAAUGUCAAAUUGGUGUCAACUACCGUUAAAAAGAAACAAAUGCGAAAACAUUAUGCUGUAUCCAACUGUGUUCGUAUAUGUUCAUAUAAAAUCGUGCCUAGUAUUACAAAGACUGACGACAGGCCGUUUUUAUAUAGGGUCAUUAAUACCUCCUAUAUAUUAUUAUAUCCACAAUAAUAGUAUUAACCGUAGAAUUAAACGUAAAUACAUAUUUUUCCAAUGAAACUUAUUUUUGUAGUGAGGCAAAAUAUGUAAACAAAACUAGCCAUUUGUGUAAAUUGUAGUAUUUAAUGUAAACUUUAGUGGUUCAAUCGGUAUAUCGAAUAUACAUCUAUAGUCCGGUCGCCGAGCACGUAGAAUUUCGUCCAAUGUCCCCAAGCUACCCAUCCUUAUCGCUCGCGCGUAAUUAUAUUGCUGUCGCGACUGUGCGACGGGCGCCCGCAGUGAGUGUGCGAGCGCGACAGCAGUAUAAUUAGUUACGCGCGGGCGAUAAGGAUGUGUAGCUUGGGGUCAUUGGACAAAAUUCUGCGUGCUCGUCGACCGGGCUUUAAUUUAACUCAAAUUCAGUUCACUAAUAAAUCUAUUUUUGUCAACCAAGAAAAAAUUCACAAUUUCUUUUCUCAAAUAGAAAUAGAUUUUAAUUAAUUGUUAAAGUAAGCGAACAAAAUAUUCCAAGCUUAGUUUAAUAUUUUAUCAGUGAUUUUUUUUUACUAUAACAAUAACUUUCUGUUACUUCUAACUACUUAAAUACAACUUGCUAAAAAUCUUUGGACUAGGAGACUCCAGCAACUUUACUAUAGGUCUAGCUGUUAACUCAAUCAGUGCCUGAGCUAUGAGAGCGACACGGGAGGGCAUACAAGCAGAGUAAAUACAAAUGAGCAGGUCAUCUUCAUAGAAACGCACCGAGCGCGGUUUGUAUGUGAGCGCGCCAAUACGUAUGCGGCGCGCACGCACACACUGACAAAAUUCGGCGCAACCACGACUGGCUCCGUCAGUGUGUGCGUGCGCGCCGCAUACGUGUUGGCGCGCUCACAUACAAACCGCGCCCGUGCGUUUCUAUGAAGAUGACCUACUCAUUUGUAUUUACUCUGAUACAAGUCUCGCUGACGUUUGACGCCACAAAAUCUGCUGCGGCUGAGUUAAAUAAAUAAAAUACAUUUUCUAAUAAAUAGAAAGAGAUUGUUAUAGAUGAAUAAUUACAUAAUUAGGAAGCUGUAUUUGAAAAUAUUGUAUAUCGUAGCAUGUAUUAAAUCUUCUGUAGUAAAAACGUGCCCUAACUAAGCCCGGUCUCCGAGCACGUAGAAUUUUGUCCAAUGACCUCAAGCUACCCAUCGCGCGCGUAAUUAUGUUGCUGUCGCGCUCGCACACUCACUGCGGCCGCCCGUCGCACAGUCGCGACAGCAAUAUAAUUACGCGCGAGCGAUAAGGAUGGGUAGCUUGGGGUCAUUGGACGAAAUUCUACGUGCUCGGCAACCGGACUAUACCUACUUAUGAAUCAAAUACUCUAUUCUGUAGACCGUACCAACGUAAGUGUGAGACGAUUUUGUACAAGUACCUAUAUUGUAAAUAUACUGCAUUUUUUA